GGGGAAUUUAAGGGCUCAGUUGGUAGAGCGUCUGCCUUACAAGCAGAAUGUCGGCGGUUCGACUCCGUCAUCACCCACCA
rnacentral:tRNA from 1 species